AGAGAGAGAGAGAGAGAGAGAGAGAGAGAGAGAGAGAGAGAGUGAGUGAGUGAGUGACCAGUAGAUGGACAGAACCUUCCCUCCCCUGUAAUCUCUGCACUCUAAUGUACCCUGUUCCUCACCUUCACUCACUGUGACCGAGCCUCACACCAUCGUUUGCCUUGUUAUACCACUGCAUUCCCAACCGUCAUUGACUAAUCCCUCACCUAUGCCUUAUCAAACCCUUCUCUGCCUGAAACCAGUUAGAGGUCAUCAGAUUACAGGAUGAUGAGUAACUUCACAAGUGAGAACUUGUAGGUUCUUUUAUAAUCUACCAUGUCAGCAUCUAGAGUGCCAAGCAUGUGACUGAAACUGGGCAUAUACCAGCCUGGUUCCCUUUUUUGUUUGAUGUGUUUGUGGAAUUUGGACUUAAGAGUCUCUUCUGUAUUGAUGUGACAUAUCAUUCAGUAAUGAUCCAGUGCCACUGCCAUCAGUAGGCCUACAGUUAGCAGUUUUUCUUUGCGAUUUGUUUUUAUUUCUAUUUUCAGUGAACAUUUAUUUGUGUUCUCUACCUGGCCAGCAGAGAUUGUAUGUUUCGUUUGAAAAUAUUGCUACACAAAUAAACACAAUUUAUAAACCAA